GAUGAACGCUGGCGGCGUGCCUAAUACAUGCAAGUCGAGCGAACAGAUAAGGAGCUUGCUCCUUUGACGUUAGCGGCGGACGGGUGAGUAACACGUGGGUAACCUACCUAUAAGACUGGGAUAACUUCGGGAAACCGGAGCUAAUACCGGAUAACAUUUGGAACCGCAUGGUUCUAAAGUGAAAGAUGGUUUUGCUAUCACUUAUAGAUGGACCCGCGCCGUAUUAGCUAGUUGGUAAGGUAACGGCUUACCAAGGCAACGAUACGUAGCCGACCUGAGAGGGUGAUCGGCCACACUGGAACUGAGACACGGUCCAGACUCCUACGGGAGGCAGCAGUAGGGAAUCUUCCGCAAUGGGCGAAAGCCUGACGGAGCAACGCCGCGUGAGUGAUGAAGGGGUUCGGCUCGUAAAACUCUGUUAUUAGGGAAGAACAAAUGUGUAAGUAACUGUGCACGUCCUGACGGUACCUAAUCAGAAAGCCACGGCUAACUACGUG
rnacentral:rRNA from 1 species